UGGACAGUCAUUGUAUAGAGGAUGG
rnacentral:miRNA from 1 species